rnacentral:rRNA from 1 species
UACGAAGGGGGCUAGCGUUGCUCGGAAUAACUGGGCGUAAAGGGUGCGUAGGCGGGUCUUUAAGUCAGGGGUGAAAUCCUGGAGCUCAACUCCAGAACUGCCUUUGAUACUGGCAAUCUCGAGUCCGGGAGAGGUGAGUGGAACUGCGAGUGUAGAGGUGAAAUUCGUAGAUAUUCGCAAGAACACCAGUGGCGAAGGCGGCUCACUGGCCCGGUACUGACGCUGAGGUGCGAAAGCGUGGGGAGCAAACAGG